rfam:Simian immunodeficiency virus strain TS, complete genome.
GACCUGGGGGAAAGAAAAAGUAUAUGAUGAAACAUUUAGUUUGGGCAAGCAGGGAGCUGGAAAGAUUUGCUUGUAACCCAGGUC